AAUUGUAGUUUAUUAUUCAUAUCAAAUAAAAAAAAACGAAAAAAUUAACCUGAAUCAAAGUGGAAGACUUUGUAUACUUAUCAAUAAUUAGCUAUAAGAUACUAUGGAAACGAAUUACAUCACAUCAUUCAAAAUUAUUAUUCAUGUCAAAUUCCAGUAGAGUAGAAGCAUCAAAUAUCAAUAUUUUGGGAAAUAUUGAAUUCUCAAUAAUUUACGACAUAUAGUUCGAGUCUUAUAAUCCCUACAACAUAAUGGUAUGAAAGUCCUAUCCGAUAAUGUUCAAGACAACAACAAAUUCCUUCAAUACUGCAAAUUUCCAAGUACCUAAGUCCUAAGAUACCCAGAAGCACGAGUAAAGGAUUGCUCGUGAAGCCGUUGUGAGAAUAAAUGAGACCCAAAUCCAACUCCCUUAGACUUCUUCUGAUUUCGGAGCACAGAACGUUCAUUCGUUCACAUUCUUGGAGGGCAACAAUUGCAAAUGGCGUUUUAUCUUCCAAUUUGGAGAACAUCUCUUGUAUGGGAAAAGGCUCAGGGAUUUUGUCAAGUGAUCCACAAUGCGAACAGAAUUCCCACCUUCUCCUCUAGAGUUAAACCUGAUCCUGAAGCGGUUCCAGAAUCUCUCGGUUGUAGCUCAAAAAUAAUCUUGAACAUUUCUUCAGAUGAUUGCGUCAAAAAUCCAAUUUCAGCAUUAGGGUGUAAACCAUAUAAAUAUGGGCUUUCAGGAGGUAAACUAUCGUCAAUGUAUUUAUGGUAUCCAUCAUAAUCUGUGCUUGGUGGUGCUGGAAAACCUGGAGCUAACUCUAGCUCACCCUCUAUCAGCUCCAGCUUUAAAUAUACUUCCAGAUAAGUUCUGCAUAACCGUCGAUCCCAGUCAUCAGUGAUGUGUCCACCAUACAUUAUUUCACCGAAAAGAUAUCUCAAGUCUUCAUAAGGAAUCUAAAAUCGAAACAUCAAUUGAAAUAUUCAACAAUUCAUUAGUUACUUACUUUGCUAUUACUCUCCAAAUAAUUGUAGAGGACGUUCACACUAAUAGUAAGAUCGCCAACAUUAAACGGAUAAUUCUUGUUCCA